AUUGAACGCUGGCGGCAUGCCUUACACACGCAAGUCGAACGGCAGCACGGGGCAACCUGGUGGCGAGUGGCGAACGGGUGAGUAAUGCAUCGGAACGUACCUUUCAGUGGGGGAUAACGUAGCGAAAGUUACGCUAAUACCGCAUAUUCUGUGAGCAGGAAAGCAGGGGAUCGCAAGACCUUGCGCUGAUUGAGCGGCCGAUGUCAGAUUAGCUAGUUGGUGAGGUAAAGGCUCACCAAGGCGACGAUCUGUAGCGGGUCUGAGAGGAUGAUCCGCCACACUGGAACUGAGACACGGUCCAGACUCCUACGGGAGGCAGCAGUGGGGAAUUUUGGACAAUGGGGACAACCCUGAUCCAGCCAUGCCGCGUGAGUGAAGAAGGCCUUCGGGUUGUAAAGCUCUUUCGGCCGGGAAGAAAUCGCACGGGCUAAUACCCUGUGUGGAUGACGGUACCGGAAUAAGAAGCACCGGCUAACUACGUGCCAGCCGCCGCCGUAAAAC
rnacentral:rRNA from 1 species